rnacentral:rRNA from 1 species
UACGUAGGUGGCAAGCGUUGUCCGGAUUUACUGGGCGUAAAGAGCGCGCAGGCGGUCAGAUAAGUCGAAUGUGAAAGCCCCCGGCUCAACUGGGGAGGGUCAUUCGAUACUGUUCGACUCGAAGGCAGGAGAGGGAAGUGGAAUUCCCGGUGUAGUGGUGAAAUGCGCAGAUAUCAGGAGGAACACCGGUGGCGAAGGCGGGUCUCUGGGCCGAAAUUGACGCUGAGGAGCGAAAGCGUGGGGAGCAAACAGG